CCUACGGGUGGCAGCAGUGAGGAAUAUUGGUCAAUGGGCGGAAGCCUGAACCAGCCAAGUAGCGUGCGGGAUGACGGCCCUACGGGUCGUAAACCGCUUUUGCACGGGGAUAACACCCUCCACUUGUGGAGGUCUGCAGGUACCGUUCGAAUAAGGGCCGGCUAAUUCCGUGCCAGCAGCCGCGGUAAUCCGGAAGGCCUGAGCGUUAUCCGGUUUCAUUGGGCUUAAAGGGAGGGUAGUCGGGAGUCCAAGUCAGCGGUAAAAUCGCGCGGCUCAACCGCGCCCCGCAGUUGAAACUGGACGCAUUGAGUUCACAACAGGCAGGCGGAAGUCGUGGUGUAGCGGUGAAAUGCAUAGAUAUCACGAGGAACCCCGAUUGCGAAGGCAGCCUGCCGGGGUGCGACUGACGCUGAGGCUCGAAGGUGCGGGUAUCAAACAGGAUUAGAUACCCCGGUAGUC
rnacentral:rRNA from 1 species